AAAAUGUCAGAAAGUAAAUUGUCAAUAUUUUUGUUAUUUUUCAAUCUACAUGGCUGAAAUUUUGACAGUGAAUGGCUGGUAGGCAUAGAAAUCUGUACCUAAAAACCUGAAAUGAGAGCGCUCGGACAAUGUGAAGUUUGUCGCAUAGACGGGGAUUGACCGCCUUUGUACAUAUAUGUCUACAGCUUCUCAGAUUUGACCGAAGACAGUUGUUCGGUGUUGUGAAUGGAUGUUGUUCGGCCGAAGGCCUUCCAGUCACACAGAAGAUCCUGGUUCGGUCACACGAAGGGUCACAUCCAUUGAUAUUAGGGCACUUUCAAAAAAAAUGGCUAAUUUUUUAUAAAGCUCAUAUUUUGUUCAUGUCUUGGGGGAAACAAACAGAUUUGC